rnacentral:rRNA from 1 species
GAUGAACGCUAGCUACAGGCCUAACACAUGCAAGUCGAGGGGCAUCGGGAGGGAAGCUUGCUUCCCUUGCCGGCGACCGGCGCACGGGUGAGUAACGCGUAUCGAACCUGCCCCAUACCCGGGGAUAGCCUUGCGAAAGUAAGAUUAAUACCCGAUGGCUUCCUUUUAUCUCCUGAUAGAGGGAAUAAAGAAUUUCGGUAUGGGAUGGCGAUGCGUCCGAUUAGCUGGUUGGCGGGGUAACGGCCCACCAAGGCGACGAUCGGUAGCCGGACUGAGAGGUUGAACGGCCACAUUGGGACUGAGACACGGCCCAG